rnacentral:rRNA from 1 species
GUCAGAAGGAUAGGACGAGCGCGGUGAUGGUCAACCGCGUAGGCGGCACGAGGCCGGGAAGCAGUGAAGUACACUUCCCGCAAAGGCUGAGUGUUGGCAGGACCGAAAAGAAGUAGGGAAGCGUCCGAGUUCACGCUGGCGAGAAAAGCUGCUAAGGAGAGUGUGAGUGCCCGUACCGGAAACCGACGCAGGUGGGCGAGGAGAGAAUCCUGAGACGGACGGGAGAACUCUUGUUAAGGAACUCGGCAAAAUGACCCCGUAACUUCGGGAGAAGGGGUGCCUCGAAAGAGGCCGCAGAGAAUAGUCACAAGCGACUGUUUAGCAAAAACACAGGUAUCUGCGAAAGCGAGAGCUGACGUAUAGGUGCUGACGCCUGCCCGGUGCUGGAAGGUUAAGGGGAAGUGUUAGGGGAAACCCGAAGCAGAGAACCGAAGCCCCAGUAAACGGCGGCCGUAACGAUAACGGUCCUAAGGUAGCGAAAUUCCUUGUCGGGUAAGUUCCGACCCGCACGAAUGGCGUAACGACUUGUGAGCUGUCUCAACAGGAGGCCCGGUGAAAUUGAAGUAUGUGUGAAGAUGCACAUUACCCGCGACUGGACGGAAAGACCCCGUAGAGCUUUACUGUAACCUGACAUUGGAUCUUGAUAACGGAUGCACAGGAUAGGUGGGACGCUGGGAGACGAGGACCUUGGUUUUCGUGGAGCGGCCGUUGGGAUACCACUCUUCUGUUAUUGAGAUUCUAACCUCAAGCCGUGAGCCGGAUGAGAGACAGUGUCAGGCGGACAGUUUGACUGGGGCGGUCGCCUCCGAAAGAGUAACGGAGGCGCCCAAAGGUACCCUCAGAAUGGAUGGAAACCAAUCGAAGAGAGCAAAGUCAGAAGGGUGCUUGACUGCGAGACCAACAAGUCGAGCAGGUACGAAAGUAGGGCUUAGUGAUCCGGCGGUAAGAGAGUGGAAUUGCCGUCGCUCAACGGAUAAAAGCUACCUCGGGGAUAACAGGCUGAUCUCCCCCAAGAGUUCACAUCGACGGGGAGGUUUGGCACCUCGAUGUCGGCUCGUCGCAUCCUGGGGCUGAAGCAGGUCCCAAGGGUUUGGCUGUUCGCCAAUUAAAGCGGCACGCGAGCUGGGUUCAGAACGUCGUGAGACAGUUCGGUCCCUAUCCAUCGUGGGCGAAGGACACAUGAGAGGAGCUGCUCCUAGUACGAGAGGACCGGAGUGGACGCAUCACUGGUGCAACUGUUGUCGUGCCAACGGCACAGCAGGGAAGCGAAAUGCGGACGGGAUAAACGCUGAAGGCAUCUAAGCGUGAAGCCCACCUCAAGAAUAAGUGUCCCAUUCGAAAGAAGUAAGACCCCUGGAAGACUAUCAGGUGAUAGGUCAUCGGUGAAAGAGUGGUAACAUUUGGAGCUUGAUGAUACUAAUCGGUCGAGGACUUGA